rnacentral:rRNA from 1 species
AGUGAACGCUGGCGGUAGGCCUAACACAUGCAAGUCGAACGGCAGCACAGUAAGAGCUUGCUCUUACGGGUGGCGAGUGGCGGACGGGUGAGGAAUACAUCGGAAUCUACUUUUUCGUGGGGGAUAACGUAGGGAAACUUACGCUAAUACCGCAUACGACCUACGGGUGAAAGCAGGGGAUCUUCGGACCUUGCGCGAUUGAAUGAGCCGAUGUCGGAUUAGCUAGUUGGCGGGGUAAAGGCCCACCAAGGCGACGAUCCGUAGCUGGUCUGAGAGGAUGAUCAGCCACACUGGAACUGAGACACGGUCCAGACGCCUACGGGAGGCAGCAGUGGGGAAUAUUGGACAAUGGGCGCAAGCCUGAUCCAGCCAUACCGCGUGGGUGAAGAAGGCCUUCGGGUUGUAAAGCCCUUUGUUGGGAAAGAAAAGCAGCAGGUUAAUACCCCGCUGUUCUGUCGGUACCCAAAGAAUAAGCACCGGCUAACUUCGUG